AACGAACGCUGGCGGCAUGCCUAACACAUGCAAGUCGAACGAGAUCUUCGGAUCUAGUGGCGCACGGGUGCGUAACGCGUGGGAAUCUGCCCAAAGGUAGGGAAUAACUCAGGGAAACCUGUGCUAAUACCCUAUAAUGUCUUCGGACCAAAGAUUUAUCGCCUUUGGAUGAGCCCGCGUUGGAUUAGCUUGUUGGUGGGGUAAUGGCCUACCAAGGCGACGAUCCGUAGCUGAUCUUAGAGGAUGAUCAGCCACACUGGGACUGAGACACGGCCCAGACUCCUACGGGAGGCAGCAGUGGGGAAUCUUGGACAAUGGGCGCAAGCCUGAUCCAGCCAUGCCGCGUGAGUGAAGAAGGUCUUCGGAUUGUAAAGCUCUUUUACCAGGGACGAUAAUGACGGUACCUGGAGAAUAAGCCCCGGCAAACUUCGUG
rnacentral:rRNA from 1 species